rnacentral:rRNA from 1 species
UACGUAGGGACCGAGCGUUGUCCGGAAUCAUUGGGCGUAAAGAGCGUGUAGGCGGCUAUUUAAGUCCUGCGUGAAAUCCUGCGGCUCAACCGCAGACGGUCGUGGGAAACUGGAUGGCUAGAGUGCGGGAGAGGAGAGUGGAAUUCCGGUGUAGCGGUGAAAUGCGCAGAUAUCGGGAAGACACCCGUGGCGAAGGCGGCUCUCUGGAACGCAACUGAACGCGUGAGACGCGAAAGCGUGGGAGCA